CUCUCUUCAACCAAGUAAAGGAGACUCCUUGUGGAGGGGAGCCCCUGCCCGCUCACCUGGAUGACCAUGCCUCACCUCUGCCGAUCACAUGCAAAUAUUUGUCCUGUUCUGAGACAUCCUCCUGGGUCCCAGCUUCUUCUCUUGAAGAUACAGAUUUCCAGUGCACCAUCAGAAGCCGAAGUAACUGUGAGUGGGAGGCAUUGGAGCCGGCUGGGAGGUAAGCAUUCGGGCCAGCAGGGAGGAGGAGUCGCCCAUGUAGCAGUGCUGGAUGACAACAUUCCCACACUGCCCUCGGACACAUCACAGACCCUGGUACCACAGGAUCCCUCUGAUUCAACUGAAGAGAGAUGCAGAGCUGCAUGCCACCAAGUAACUAAUCCGUUCUUUUCUUCUUAUAUCCAUUGAGCAGUGUGCUGUGUUGGCACAAUGCACAGUACUUGUUAACCACUCCAGGAAAAGAAAGAGCCACUCAUUCUGAUUAGCUGUCAGAACUAAUUUUAAGCUAUGUUAUUAUAUGGUAAAGAGGAAAAAGGAAAUACAAGGAAACUGUACUU
rnacentral:lncRNA from 1 species